UGCUUUGAGCUGUACAAAGAUAAUAUGCGACAACACUAGAUGGCUCAUCAAAAAGUAGCACCAAAAACAAUUAUGCAGAAUUAAACAUCAAUAUCAUAACUGUGAAAGCAAUAAAAGUAACAUUCUUUUUGUUAUCAAUUCAAUUUUAACCUUAUGACUCUAAACAAUGACAUAGUAACCAAGUCUUCAUAGAUCUUUACUUAAGAAAGAUAUGGAUAUAACUUAGAGGAAAAGUCAAUAACAAUUGUUGAAACACUCUUCAAGGAUUUGAACAUUGUGCUGGCACUGUUUGAUUGGUAGAUCAAAGUAUUUGCAAGUUCUUCAUUGUUUAUAAUCUUUGAGAUGCCAAAUCAUUCACCAUGCUCUUCCCCAUUGAUGUCUCUUCAAAAGAUGUUUCACCGAACAACAAUUGAAUGUACCUUUUCGAACUUUCCCUUCUUUGCAAUCUCAUCUCUAACCUUCUUAGCCUCUUUGAAGUUUCCAACCUUGCGGAGCCCAUAAAUCAAGUGGACGCAGAGGUGACUUUUGGGCUUUAUACCUUUUAACCUGAACCAUCACGGCUCUUGCUUCCAUCCAUUUUUAUUAAUAUCCGCAUAGCCUUCUAAUCCUUUGAUUAUGUUCAAACUCCGUUGGUGGGCAGCCAUUCUUUGCGAUUAGUCUCAUAACUUUCUCAACUUCAUCUUACUUUUAUAAAAUCCAUGGAUCAGGAUAUUAUAUGCACAUUCAAUAAGCAAGCAACCCUCCUUUGUACACAUCUCUUCCAAACUAGCACAUCCAGAUGCUGUCGAGCCUAGGCUGCCAUAUGCACCUACAUAAUAUGGUAUAUGUGGCAACAAGUCCGUUUCCAUGUAUUUGUGGGAGUUCGCGAAAUUCAUGAUUCACUUUCUCGAUGUUCUUGUUCCGUAUACGUGUCCGAAUCAACUCCUCUAGUGGUCUGGUGGUGGCAUGGAUACCAUGAUCUUCCAUCUCCUCAAAGGUGUGGAAUGAUUGAUCUAGCAUCCCAUGGCUGCCUAUGGUUGGAUCAUGUAAUGAAAUAACCUCUCAAUCCAGAGCUAUGGGCAUGGUUUCCGGUGUUCAAUUACGUAUAGGUGGGCACAUGGUGAUGUAUGCUUUGGCUCCUUGUGCACUGUGAUUGAGGUCUUGAUAGUGUUUUUGUUGGACGAGACUGAGAAGGAUGCGAUUUAUCAAAUGCAAGGAAGUAAUUUUCUAGUUAUUAGGCCAGCUGAGGCCAUUCUCUCAAUUAGCUCAACUGGAGCAACCGGAUCAAGAUUUGACUGACCUCUCAACCCUCAGAAGUCUGGUGGGGCCCCUCUUAGGUAGGAUUACUUUGUUUGCUUAGCCGCAUUGAUUGCUUCGAAAGAAAGAAAGGAGGGAAAGGCUUGGAGUUGAGCUAGUGCUCUAUGUAACAACCUAAGGAAAGUAGGUGCAAACCACGUGGGAAAUAUCCAUUCUAUGUAUUUGAUCAAUAAAGCUUGCCUUGGCGAUUCUUCGAGUUAAUUUGAGGGCCAUGAUUUUGUGGUUGAGUUUAGCCUGGGUGCCGUGCUGGAGGAGUGGCUUAUGGAAGUUAUGGGCAAAGAGAUCCAAUGGCUUAAGGAGGUGCAGGCACUUAGGAUUUAAGAGAAAUAGAGGAAGACCUUUGGUAUGGCUGGCGAGAUCCGUGGUUUCACAAAUCAAUUAAUGUGAUACUUGGGUAUUUAUAUUCAAUUUUUUCCCCAGGAUAAUGAUGUGAAAAAUGUGAUACUGAUGGAGUCAAGUUCAUGCAAGCUAUAUGAUUCAUUUGGAGAUUACCAAAUUGUAGUUGGAUGUGAAAGUUUUCAUGAAGGGCUCAGCUGAGCUGUUAAGCAUGAUGGUUACCAAUGCAAGCAGAGUUCUUAUCAAGUAAAAAGGCCAUUUGCACUAGGGAAACUAGUGAGUUCCCUCCAUAAGAUGGAUAGUUGAUGCUUAGCCUACAGUUAGAAAAAGAUGCUCCUCCUUUUCUACGUGUCUGGAGUUUGUGGGUACAAAGUUAUUUGGGGGAAAAAAAUGAAAAAAGGCUUCUGCGUGUUUAAAAAGGGUUUCUACCGUAGUCUGGUGCUUGCGUUUGGACUAUACACUAGUAGUGUUUGGUUAAACAUUGGACUGAAUCAGCUCCAAAGUGCCUUUCAUGGUUAUAGGGCUCUUCAAUGCCCGACAUUUGUCAUUUUCAGGUGAAGCCUGCAUUUGAGAUACAUGCAGGUAACUCAUCUUUGUCUGGGCCUGCAUAAAAUUGUGUAU
rnacentral:lncRNA from 1 species